rnacentral:rRNA from 1 species
CCUACGGGGGGCUGCAGUGGGGAAUAUUGGACAAUGGGGGCAACCCUGAUCCAGCCAUGCCGCGUGUGUGAAGAAGGCCCUCGGGUUGUAAAGCACUUUCAGUGAGGAAGAACGCCUGGUGGUUAAUACCCAUCAGGAAAGACAUCACUCACAGAAGAAGCACCGGCUAACUCCGUGCCAGCAGCCGCGGUAAUACGGAGGGUGCGAGCGUUAAUCGGAAUUACUGGGCGCAAAGCGCGCGUAGGUGGCUUGAUAAGCCGGUUGUGAAAGCCCCGGGCUCAACCUGGGAACGGCAUCCGGAACUGUCAAGCUAGAGUGCAGGAGAGGAAGGUAGAAUUCCCGGUGUAGCGGUGAAAUGCGUAGAGAUCGGGAGGAAUACCAGUGGCGAAGGCGGCCUUCUGGACUGACACUGACACUGAGGUGCGAAAGCGUGGGUAGCAAACAGGAUUAGAUACCCUAGUAGUC